rnacentral:lncRNA from 1 species
GAAUGUUGGUAUUGGGGUUGCCUAUUUGAGCAAAGUCAAUGGGUUUGUCAGCCUGUUUAAGCAAACUGCACAUCAUGGGGUUAUCCCACCAGCUCAUAUGUAUAGAUUUUCACAUCAAAUUCCCUCAUAUAGAAUGACUGGCAAGGAGAGGGAAGAGGUUCCUGUUGGAUCUUUUGAGCUUGAUCCCGCUUCUCUGCCUACCUGUCUCAACAAGCUUGAAGAUUUUCAAGGCAAAGGCCAGCAGCUUAGAAGAUCUUCAAAGCAAAGGCAAAAUGUUUUGUACAGUGAAAAGAUUACUGAUGGUGAUUCUUUUAGCUCCCCAAAGAGUUCAAAAGGGAGCAAACCAGACAGAUCCAGUGAAGAGGAGCUGCAAGAAGCAGGUGUGCGUGGUGGGCUAUCCAAAGAUGGCACAUCAACUGAAAGGGAGUUGAAACAGAAAGCCAGUUCUAUUGAAGAGAGCAUGCCAAAUAAGAAAAGCAAUACCAGUGAACAGAAAGCAGAACGAAAGGAAGCAGAUGUAUCAGAUUAUGAUGACGGGAGCACGCUGAAUUCAGAGAUCAUUGAGUAUCCUGAUCCAGAUUUCAGUGAUUUUGAUAAAGUUAGGGAAGAAAACUGUUUUGCUGUGAAUCAAACUUGGGCUAUUUAUGAUCCAUGUGAUGGCAUGCCAAGAUUCUACGCUCGGAUCAAGAAAGUUUUCUCACCCCAUUUUAGGUUACAGAUUACUUGGCUUGAGCCUAAUCCAGAUGAUGAAAGUGAGAAAGCCUGGCGUGAUGUUGAACUGCCUAUUGCUUGUGGUAAGUUCACCAAUGGGAAGAUUGAAGAAACUGAAGAUCGUCUAAUGUUUUCUCAUCAGAUAUGUUGGAUGAACGGUGGUGGUAGACGCUCUUUCCUGACAUAUCCUAAAGGGGGGGAAACUUGGGCCAUCUUUAGUGACUGGGAUAUUAAGUGGGGUCGUGACCCAGAAAAGCAUGGACCACCAUACCAGUAUGAAUUUGUGGAGGUGCUGACAGAUUUUGAUGAGAAUGUUGGUAUUGGGGUUGCCUAUUUGAGCAAAGUCAAUGGGUUUGUCAGCCUGUUUAAGCAAACUGCACAUCAUGGGGUUAUCCCACCAGCUCAUAUGUAUAGAUUUUCACAUCAAAUUCCCUCGUAUAGAAUGACUGGCAAGGAGAGGGAAGAUGUUCCUGUUGGAUCUUUUGAGUUUGAUCCCGCUUCUCUGCCUACGAGUCUCAACAAGCUUGAAGAAUUAUCAGAUUAGUGGCUGUUGGAAUCUCGAUCCCUUGGCGAUUCCUGGUGCUACUCCUGGUGGUACUAUUAUUUUAGAUUAAAUAGGAGCAGUAUGUUGUAUACCCGUCCUUUU